GAUGAACGCUGGCGGCGUGCCUAAUACAUGCAAGUCGAGCGAACGGACGAGAAGCUUGCUUCUCUGAUGUUAGCGGCGGACGGGUGAGUAACACGUGGAUAACCUACCUAUAAGACUGGGAUAACUUCGGGAAACCGGAGCUAAUACCGGAUAAUAUUUUGAACCGCAUGGUUCAAAAGUGAAAGACGGUCUUGCUGUCACUUAUAGAUGGAUCCGCGCUGCAUUAGCUAGUUGGUAAGGUAACGGCUUACCAAGGCAACGAUGCAUAGCCGACCUGAGAGGGUGAUCGGCCACACUGGAACUGAGACACGGUCCAGGCUCCUACGGGAGGCAGCAGUAGGGAAUCUUCCGCAAUGGGCGAAAGCCUGACGGAGCAACGCCACGUGAGUGAUGAAGGUCUUCGGAUCGUAAAACUCUGUUAUGAGGGAAGAACAUAUGUGUAAGUAACUGUGCACAUCUUGACGGUACCGAAUCAGAAAGCCACGGCUAACUACGUG
rnacentral:rRNA from 1 species